rnacentral:rRNA from 1 species
AAAGAUUAAGCCAUGCAUGUCUAAGUAUAAGCAAUUUAUACAGUGAAACUGCGAAUGGCUCAUUAAAUCAGUUAUCGUUUAUUUGAUAGUACCUUUACUACUUGGAUAACCGUGGUAAUUCUAGAGCUAAUACAUGCUAAAAAUCCCGACUGUUUGGAAGGGAUGUAUUUAUUAGAUAAAAAAUCAAUGCUCUUCGGAGCUUUUUGAUGAUUCAUAAUAACUUUUCGAAUCGCAUGGCCUUGUGCUGGCGAUGGUUCAUUCAAAUUUCUGCCCUAUCAACUUUCGAUGGUAGGAUAGUGGCCUACCAUGGUGG